CGUAGUUCUACUAUAUAAUUAUCUUUAGCCACUCCUCCUGACUGGAUUUGUUCUUUAUUCAUUCUACGAUGAAGACCCUGAAUGAAGAACUUUUUCUUCCUGUUUGGAAACCACCUUGAUAUUUCACUAUCAGAAAUAGAUGAAAUGGAGCUGCACUUCACUUGGGUUGUGACCUAGAGUCUUAAAACAGUACAACUCUGAAGAGGUCAAAAGUCGACUCUGCAGCAAGCUGGAGUAAAAUGUGACAAACCAUAUGGAACAAGUCAGCUGACUGCAACAUUUACACCUGUGUGUUACAUACCUGUGUCUGCGGUUGUUGAUCUCCACUUGCUUUUUGGGCCAUGAUGGAGUAGUCCAUCUGAACAAGAUCAUCUGAUCAUCACCCAUCACAUUAGUGCAUGACACUUUAUUCUUUAGUUUUUUAACAAGCUACAAACUGUACAGAAUUGUUUCACUCAAAUCAAUAAUCCAUUUAUCUAUUUAUUUUGAAGGACAGGUCAACUAGACAUUAUCACAAAA